GGGGAAUUUUCCGCAAUGGGCGAAAGCCUGACGGAGCGAUGCCGCGUGAAGGAUGAAGCCCCUCGGGGUGUAAACUUCUUUUCUGAGGGACGAUUUUGGACGGUACCUCAGGAAUAAGUACCUGCUAACUACGUGCCAGCAGCAGCGGUAAUACGUAGGGUACAAGCGUUAUCCGGAAUUAUUGGGCGUAAAGGGUGUGCAGGCCGCUCUAUAAGUCUGUCGUAAAAUCCUCUGGCUCAACCAGAGAACUGCGGUGGAUACUGUAGGGCUUGAGUGGAUGAGAGGAACGUGGAAUUCCCGGUGUAGCGGUAAUAUGCAUUGAUAUCGGGAGGAACACCAGAGGCGAAGGCGACGUUCUGGCAUCCAACUGACGCUGAGACACGAAAGCUAGGGGAGCGAAAGGGAUUAGAUACCCCUGUAGUC
rnacentral:rRNA from 1 species